GACAGCAGUAGCCGCGGGAAUACAGAGGGUGCGAGCGUUAAUCGGAUUUACUGGGCGUAAAGCGUGCGUAGGCGGCUUCUUAAGUCGGAUGUGAAAUCCCUGAGCUUAACUUAGGAAUUGCAUUCGAUACUGGGAAGCUAGAGUAUGGGAGAGGAUGGUAGAAUUCCAGGUGUAGCGGUGAAAUGCGUAGAGAUCUGGAGGAAUACCGAUGGCGAAGGCAGCCAUCUGGCCUAAUACUGACGCUGAGGUACGAAAGCAUGGGGAGCAAACAGGAUUAGAUACCCGGGUAGUCCCUGUCUCUUAUAC
rnacentral:rRNA from 1 species